rnacentral:rRNA from 1 species
GACGAACGCUGGCGGCGCGCUUAACACAUGCAAGUCGAGCGAUGAAAUCUUAACAGAACCCUUCGGGGUGAAGAUAAGACGGAUUAGCGGCGGACGGGUGAGUAACACGUGAGUAACCUGCCUUUUACACAGGGAUAGCCUCAGGAAACCGGGAUUAAAAGCUGCUGAAACUAUCAAAUCACAUGAUUAAGAAAGUUAAAACGCCGGUGGUAAAAGAUGGACUGGCGUCCCAUUAGCUAGUGGGUGAAGGUAACGGCACACCAAGGCCACGAUGUGUAGCUGGCCUGGGAGGGUGACACGCCAGAUUUGAACUGAGGACCGGUCCAAACCGCUAGGGAAGGGAGGAGAAGAUAAUAUUGCAGGAUGGAGCAAACCCCGACGCAGCGACGCCGGGUGAGAGAGGAAGCCCGUCGGAUACUACAGCCGUUUGAUAUGGGAAGUUAAUGACGGUACCAGAUAAAAAAGCACCGGCUAACUACGUG